ACAAAUCCAGCUAGAGGCACAGAAAACAGACAUGUGGACACGCAGGUGCUGCAACAGUAAUGUUUAAAUGCACACAGAACACAGAGGCUGUAUUCUCCGCUGAAAAACAUCCACCAGGAACUACUGCAGCAAGUUGCACAAGAUCACCUGAAAGAGGUCUCUCAGGAAGCAGUGGAGGCUUGUAAACUAGAGUGCCAACAGAGAGGACCUUAUCCUUGCGAUGAAACAGUUUUCAGCUUGUGUUGCCUUAUAAUGGCAGAGAACUUCUUACUCUCACCCACCACGGCAGAUGAAGCCAUAGAGCUAUAUCUCUUCUUGAGAGCAUACAUUCUUAAAUACUACGCCAGGAAUUCUGACCAGAGGAUUAAGGCAGGGCUACAUUAUGUCAACUGAUGUUGUGAGGAAAAUAUCCAAAACAAAUAAUCACAAUGUUUCAGUGCAGAGUAAAAAUAAUGUGUGGUUUCCACAAAAUAUUUAACCUACCCUGUACAUUUGGUCACUUUGUCACAAACCCCCGGUCGUGACCCUGGCCUGCCUGUUGCCCUGAGGCUGCUGGUGGGCGUGGUAAUCUGAGCUCCAGGCUUUCCCACCUGAAGCACAUCCGCAAUCAGCACACCAGGGUCUCUGCCUGCAAUCAACACACCUUUAAGAGAUCUGCCAACCUUCCAGUCCCCGCCGGAUUGUUGUACUUAACCGUAUAGACACGCCAGCCAGUUUGUCUGUCUUAGUUUCAGUUUCAGUUUUUUGUCUGAACCUUCGUACCAGUGUUUAACUGCUCUCUCUUUGUCUCAUCCUCAGGAAACCUGCACAUGCACCACGCGGAUUCCCUCCUGUUCCCCGGAAUCAUCUAAGCUCUGGGACCAGAACCGCAGACCCUCAGAACGACCACCUCACCCCAACCUCUCCCAGGACACCCCUUGUGCUUAAUAAACCACUUCUGUGCAUUU